CAACGUUUCACACGGACAUUUAUUGCAGACGAACGCAGUGUCUGCUGUCUCAUAAACGUUGCCAAAAAUGACAAGAGAACGUCUAGUUUGCUGUACCCUCAAAGGCAUAUUGCUUGCUGUGAUAUCCGCCAAACAAGAGUUGAACUGUCCUGUGUUUGUUUACAAAGAGGAGUUGAGGCUAGAGUGCAAAUCGAGUCUUUUGGAAAGGUGUGAAGAGUGAAUCCAUCCUCCCGAGUGUUCGAGCAAAAUACAACGAGCUGGCAUUUUGGCUAACACGCGGAAAAAACAAGCUAAUUUCUCGCCGGUACAACAGGUAUAAACACUCUACCCCGCCACUGUAGGCGUCUGCAAAAAAUGUCAAAUCCUGGUUUUUGUUGUACACAAAAGCCUCGAGGCACUUUUCAUGGCAGUCUUCGAAGGUGAAAUAUAGUGGUAUUAUUUUGGAUUAUUUUUUUAUUGUAUUAUUUUUAAUUUGCAUCUUAUAUCGCAAGAGCGGCACUCUGCUUAUUGGAUUGUGUUGAUGACGCUCAAAUGAUGUAUUGUACACCUAGAGUCAAACAUGUUUAA